rnacentral:tRNA from 1 species
GCUGCCGUCCGGCGCGCCACGCUGGCCGGCUUCGCGCGCCGGCCGGGCGGCUGGGCGCUGGCGCUGGCGGCGUUCCUGUCGGCGAUGACGGCG